GAUGAACGCUGGCGGCGUGCCUAAUACAUGCAAGUCGAGCGAACAGACGAGGAGCUUGCUCCUCUGACGUUAGCGGCGGACGGGUGAGUAACACGUGGAUAACCUACCUAUAAGACUGGGAUAACUUCGGGAAACCGGAGCUAAUACCGGAUAAUAUAUUGAACCGCAUGGUUCAAUAGUUAAAGACGGUUUUGCUGUCACUUAUAGAUGGAUCCGCGCCGCAUUAGCUAGUUGGUAAGGUAACGGCUUACCAAGGCAACGAUGCGUAGCCGACCUGAGAGGGGGAUCGGCCACAAUGGAACUGAGACACGGUCCAGACUCCUACGGGAGGCAGCAGUAGGGAAUCUUCCGCAAUGGGCGAAAGCCUGACGGAGCAACGCCGCGUGAGUGAUGAAGGUCUUCGGAUCGUAAAACUCUGUUAUUAGGGAAGAACAAAUGUGUAAGUAACUAUGCACGUCUUGACGGUACCUAAUCAGAAAGCCACGGCUAACUACGUG
rnacentral:rRNA from 1 species